AUGGGGACGAAGAAGAGCACGGUGGCGCUGGCUCUCCUCGUCCUCGCGCUGUCGUCGCUGCCCCGGGCGUGCCUCGCCGUGACGUCGCCGUACGUGCGCCCGAGGCCCAGGGCGACGCUCUCAUUGCGCCGGGACGCCGACGCCGGCGGCCAGACGCCGCAGCAGGUGCAUGUGUCGGCUGUGGGCCCUGACAAGAUGAGGGUGACAUGGAUCACCGACGACGACGCGCCGGCGAUGGUGGACUACGGCACGGCUUCAGGCCAGUACCCCUUCUCCGCCACCGGAACCACCGCCGAUUACUCCUACCUCAUGUAUCACUCUGGGAACAUCCACGACGCCGUCGUCGGCCCACUGAAACCCAGCACCACCUACUACUACCGGUGCAGCUCCGACCCGUCGCGGGAGUUCUCCUUCCGAACGCCCCCGUCAGGCCUCCCCUUCACCUUCGUCAUCGCCGGCGACCUGGGCCAGACGGAGUGGACCAACUCCACGCUGCAGCACAUCGCCGCCGCCGACUACGACAUGCUGCUCCUCCCCGGCGACCUGUCGUACGCCGACCUGGACCAGCCGCGCUGGGACUCGUACGGCCGCCUGGUGGAGCCCCUGGCGAGCGCGCGGCCCUGGAUGGUGACCGAGGGCAACCACGAGGUGGAGAAGAUCCCCCUCCUCGAGCGCCACCCCUUCAAGGCCUACAACGCGCGGUGGCGCAUGCCGUACGACGCCGGCGCCUCGCCGUCGGGGUCCAACCUCUACUACUCCUUCGACGCGGCCGGCGGCGCGGUGCACGUCAUCAUGCUGGGCUCGUACACCGACUACGACGCCGGCACGGCGCAGCACACGUGGCUGCAGGGCGACCUCGCAGGGGUCGACCGCGGGAAGACGCCGUUCGUGGUGGCGCUGGUGCACGCGCCGUGGUACAACAGCAACAAGGCGCACCAGGGGGAGGGCGACGGCAUGCGCGACGCCAUGGAAGCGCUGCUCUACGGCGCCCGCGUGGACGCGGUGUUCGCCGGGCACGUGCACGCCUACGAGAGGUUCGCGCGCGUGUACGGCGACAAGGAGGACCAGUGCGGGCCGGUGUACGUGACCAUCGGAGACGGCGGCAACCGGGAAGGGCUGGCGGAGAAGUACAUCGAGCCGCAGCCCAAGACGUCGGUGUUCCGGGAGGCCAGCUUCGGGCAUGGCAGGCUGCAGGUGGUGAACGUGACGCACGCCCUGUGGACGUGGCACCGAAACGACGACGACGAGCCCGUGGUGGCUGACCAGACAUGGAUCACCAGCCUCGCGCCCAACCCGGCCUGUAAAAAAUGA
rnacentral:rRNA from 1 species